rnacentral:rRNA from 1 species
UACGUAGGUGGCGAGCGUUGUCCGGAUUUACUGGGCGUAAAGAGCGCGCAGGCGGUCAAGUAAGUCGAAUGUGAAAGCCCCCGGCUCAACUGGGGAGGGUCAUUCGAUACUGCUCGACUCGAAGGCAGGAGAGGGAAGUGGAAUUCCCGGUGUAGUGGUGAAAUGCGUAGAGAUCCGGAGGAACACCUGUGGCGAAGGCGGCCCCCUGGGCCGGGCCUGACGCUGAGACGCGAAAGCGCGGGGAGCGAACGGG